CAGCUACUCCCUCCGUCCGGAAUUACUUGUCUCGGAAAUAGAUAAAAGUUAUUGUAUCUAGAACUAAAAUAUGUCUACAUACAUCCAUUUCUUCGACAAGUAUUUCCGGACGGAGGGAGUAUUUG
rfam:Triticum urartu cultivar G1812 contig296740, whole genome shotgun sequence.